AAAAUGGGUCAAAAAUGGGACUUUUUGGGUCCAAAAUGGGACUUUUUGGGUCCAAAUUGGGUCAAAAAUGUCCCUUUUUGGGUCCAAAUUGGGUCAAAAAUGGCUCUUUUUGGGUCAAAAAUGGCACUUUUUGGGUCCAAAAUGGGGCAGAAAUGGGACUUUUUGGGUCCAAAUUGGGUCAAAAAUGGGACUUUUUGGGUCAAAAAUGGCACUUUUAGGGUCAAAAAUGGGACUCUUUGGGGUCAAAAAUGGGACUUUUGGGUCAAAAAUGGGACUCUUUGGGGUCAAAAAUGGGACUUUUUGGGUCCAAAUUGGGUCAAAAAUGGCUCUUUUUGGGUCAAAAAUGGCACUUUUUGGGUCCAAAAUGGGACUUUUGGGUCAAAAAUGUCCAUUUUUGGGUCCAAAAUGGGUUAAAAAUGGGACUUUUUGGGUCCAAAAUGGGACUUUUGGGUCAAAAAUGUCCCUUUUUGGGUCCAAAUUGGGUCAAAAAUGGCUCUUUUUGGGUCAAAAAUGGGACUUUUUGGGUCCAAAUUGGGUCAAAAAUGGGACUUUGGGGUCAAAAAUGUCCCUUUUUGGGUCCAAAUUGGGUUAAAAAUGGCACUUUUUGGGUUAAAAAUGGGACUUUUUGGGGCAGAAAUGGCACUUUUGGGUCAAAAAUGUCCAUUUUUGGGUCCAAAAUGGGUUAAAAAUGGGACUUUUUGGGUCAAAAAUGGGACUUUUGGGGCAGAAAUGGCACUUUUUGGGUCAAAAAUGGGACUUUUUGGGGCAGAAAUGGCACUUUUUGGGUCAAAGUUGGGUCAAAAAUGGGACUUUUUGGGUCAAAAAUGGCACUUUUUGGGUCAAAAAUGGCACUUUUUGGGUCCAAAAUGGGACUCUUUGGGGUCAAAAAUGGCACUUUUUGGGUCCAAAAUGGGUCAAAAAUGGCUCUUUUUGGGUCAAAAAUGGCACUUUUUGGGUCCAAAUUGGGGCAGAAAUGGGACUUUUUGGGUCCAAAAUGGGUGAAAAAUGGCACUUUUUGGGUCAAAGUGGGACUUUUGGGGUCAAAAAUGGGACUCUUUGGGGUCAAAAAUGGCACUUUUUCGGUCCAAAAUGGGUCAAAAAUGGCUCUUUUUGGGUCAAAAAUGGCACUUUUUCGGUCCAAAAUGGGACUUUUGAGUCAAAAAUGUCCAUUUUUGGGUCGAAAAUGGGUGAAAAAUGGCACUUUUUGGGUCCAAAAUGGGACUUUUGGGUCAAAAAUGUCCAUUUUUGGGUCCAAAAUGGGUCAAAAAUGGGACUUUUUGGGUCAAAAAUGUCCCUUUUUGGGUCAAAAAUGGGUUAAAAAUGGCACUUUUUGGGUCCAAAAUGGCACUUUUGGGUCAAAAAUGUCCAUUUUUGGGUCCAAAAUGGGUUAAAAAUGGGACUUUUGGGGUCAAAAAUGGCACUUUUUGGGGCAGAAAUGUCCCUUUUUGGGUCCAAAUUGGGUCAAAAAUGGCUCUUUUUGGGUCAAAAAUGGCACUUUUUGGGUCCAAAUUGGGGCAGAAAUGGGACUUUUUGGGUCCAAAUUGGGUCAAAAAUGGCUCUUUUUGGGUCAAAAUUGGGUCAAAAAUGGGACUUUUGGGGUCAAAAAUGGGACUUUUUGGGUACAAAUUGGGUGAAAAAUGGCUCUUUUUGGGUCAAAUUCGGCACUUUUUGGGGCAGAAAUUGGGUGAAAAAUGACUCUUUUUGGGUCAAAAAUGUCCCUUUUUGGGUCCAAAAUGGGUCAAAAAUGGCUCUUUUU
ensembl:lncRNA